GAUGAACGCUGGCGGCGUGCCUAAUACAUGCAAGUCGAGCGAACAGACGAGGAGCUUGCUCCUCUGACGUUAGCGGCGGACGGGUGAGUAACACGUGGAUAACCUACCUAUAAGACUGGGAUAACUUCGGGAAACCGGAGCUAAUACCGGAUAACAUGUUGAACCGCAUGGUUCAACAGUGAAAGACGGUCUUGCUGUCACUUAUAGAUGGAUCCGCGCCGCAUUAGCUAGUUGGUAAGGUAACGGCUUACCAAGGCAACGAUGCGUAGCCGACCUGAGAGGGUGAUCGGCCACACUGGAACUGAGACACGGUCCAGACUCCUACGGGAGGCAGCAGUAGGAAAUCUUCCGCAAUGGGCGAAAGCCUGACGGAGCAGCGCCGCGUGAGUGAAGAAGGUCUUCGGAUCGUAAAACUCUGUUAUUAGGGAAGAACAAAUGUGUAAGUAACUAUGCACGUCUUGACGGUACCUAAUCAGAAAGCCACGGCUAACUACGUG
rnacentral:rRNA from 1 species